UACAGAGGUUGCAAACGCUGUUCGGAAUCACUGGGCAUAAAGCGCACGUAGGCGGCUGACUAAGUCGGAUGUGAAAUCCCUCGGCUCAACCGGGGAACUGCGUCCGAUACUGGUCGGCUUGAGAACGGUAGGGGUGAGCGGAACUCCAGGUGGAGCGGUGAAAUGCGUAGAUAUCUGGAGGAACACCGGUGGCGAAAGCGGCUCACUGGACCGUCACUGACGCUGAGGUGCGAAAGCUAGGGUAGCAAAC
rnacentral:rRNA from 1 species